rnacentral:rRNA from 1 species
UACAGAGGUCUCGAGCGUUGUUCGGAUUCACUGGGCGUAAAGGGUGCGUAGGUGGCCUAAAAAGUUUGAUGUGAAAGCUCAGGGCUUAACCCUGAAAUGGCAUUGAAUACUGUUGGGCUGGAGGUUUGGAGGGGGGACUGGAAUUCUUGGUGUAGCAGUGAAAUGCGUAGAUAUCAAGAGGAACACCAGUGGCGAAGGCGAGUCCCUGGACAACACCUGACACUGAGGCACGAAAGCCGGGGGAGCAAACAGG